rnacentral:lncRNA from 1 species
GUCCCGUCCACCAUCCAUCCCGUGUGAUGCCCUCAUACCCUAUGGGACUUCCAGAAGCACCUUCUCCCUGUGUGAGUGGGAUGAUUGUCCACAGGACCAAUGAAAAAAUGCUAUCUAUCUGAUGCUGGGAAGCUGGCUGGACCAAGGGCAGGAUUUCAGGGAGCCCUGCAAUUCCCCUGUUGGAUGGUGAGGUUGGCCACUCAUCACAUCAGCUUUGGUGGCUCAGACCCGGAGGGCCAUGCCUGCCUUCUGCUGGGCCACCUGAAGCCUCUCAAGGCCAUUGAGCAGGAGCAGAAAUGAGCUGUUCAAGAAAUUGGUGCCCGCCCACUGCCUGGGCUCCAUCUGGUUCCAGCAAGACAACAGGGACCACAAAUACCUGGCACCUACCAUCCGUGACACUGUGGCACACACGAACACCUUGGUCAACAGUGUCAUCACUACGUGCCUCGGGGCCCCAAGCAUUACAGUGCAGGACAGGGCCAGAGUGGUGGAGCUGUGAAUUCAGGUGGCCAAGGGGUGCUGAGGCCUCAGAAACUUCUCUUCCCUCCACACCAUCCUUUCUGCUCUGCAGAGCCCUGCCAUUAAGCGUCUCAAAGAGACCUGGGGACAAGUUUCCAGGGAGAGAUCCUACACCUUUAAGAAGUGGUGCAGGGGAGAGCAGCACGUGA